rnacentral:tRNA from 1 species
GUCUGGGGGCAUAGUUCAGUUGAUAGAGUGGUUGCCUCACAAGCACUAGACCCUGGGUUCAAUCCCCAGCAAAACA